UACGUAGGUCCCGAGCGUUAUCCGGAAUUAUUGGGCGUAAAGAGCAUGAAGGCGGUCUAUUAAGUCUGAUGUGAAAUCUAGUGGCCUAACCACUAAAUUGCAUUGGAAACUGGUAGACUAGAUUACUGGAGGGGUAAGUGGAAUUCCAAGUGUAGCGGUGGAAUGCGUAGAUAUUUGGAGGAACACCAAUGGCGAAGGCAGCUUACUGGACAGUUAAUGACGCUGAGAUGCGAAAGCGUGGGGAGCAAACAGG
rnacentral:rRNA from 1 species